UAUCAGGCGAGCGGAAACUGCAAAACACGGCUGAUAUAUAGCCGUUCCUUGUUGUAUGUGAUGAUGGCAUCUUAGGAAGCCUUUCUUUUUUACAUUGCGGACAUGGGGGUCAAUCGCAGAUCAGCUCCAAAGCGUUCAGAACACUUUCUCGAGCAAGCAUGACCGCAUUGCGGCAAAGCUAUCUCUCGGAAGGCAGGACCGGGCGUCUUUUAGGUGGCGCAAGAAAAAAAAAAGACUGGAGAGAACGGUGCAAGAGGAAGGAUGGGAUGACAACGCAAGUUUCAGAUUAUACGCGCUAAGUCUCGGAUUACGAACCUCGGCACUUGCUCCUUAUCUCCUGUGGCCUGCGUUUUGGCUGCUCUUCUCCAUAACAGCAAGAGAGGCAUGCACCGGCAGAAUAAGCGAGGCGCCUUGCCAAUCGUGGGCGACCGUUACUUACACGGCAGGCAGUCGCUGUUACCUUGCGGUAAGUGACGGCCAAGCACACUGCGCGGACAUAAUGGCACCGGAACUGCGCGCCUUAAGAUGAAGUCGACUCCAAAUGACAGCUUCCACUGUCGUGUAAUAUUUUCGUAGCCGUGAUAACCUUUAAGUUUUCAUCCUACGGGGACUUACGCGGGAUCGCCACAACGCGCCAUCGUUGUGCUACAGCUACUUCCAUCUCCCAAAGCGCCGACUUGUUCUUUUUACAUAAAAAAAAACACAUUUU